rnacentral:rRNA from 1 species
GACGAACGCUGGCGGCGUGCCUAACACAUGCAAGUCGAGCGGAGACACUGAGGAGCUUGCUCCGAGGUGUUUUAGCGGCGGACGGGUGAGUAACGCGUGAGCAACCUUUCCUCUACUGGGGAAUAACACAUCGAAAGGUGUACUAAUACCGCAUGAGACCACAGCACUGCAUGGUGCAGGGGUCAAAGAUUUUANCGGUGAAAGAUGGACUCGCGUCCGAUUAGGUAGUUGGUGAGGUAACGGCCCACCAAGCCGACGAUCGGUAGCCGGACUGAGAGGUUGAACGGCCACAUUGGGACUGAGACACGGCCCAGACUCCUACGGGAGGCAGCAGCGGGGAAUAUUGGGCAAUGGGCGAAAGCCUGACCCAGCAACGCCGCGUGAAGGAAGAAGGCCUUCGGGUUGUAACGUUACUUUUACCAGGGACGAAGAACGUGACGGUACC